rnacentral:rRNA from 1 species
UUGAAGGUUGGGUAACACUAACUGGAGGACCGAACCGACUAAUGUUGAAAAAUUAGCGGAUGACCUGUGGCUGGGGGUGAAAGGCCAAUCAAACCGGGAGAUAGCUGGUUCUCCCCGAAAGCUAUUUAGGUAGCGCCUCGUGAAUUCAUCUCCGGGGGUAGAGCACUGUUUCGGCUAGGGGGCCAUCCCGGCUUACCAACCCGAUGCAAACUGCGAAUACCGGAGAAUGUUAUCACGGGAGACACACGGCGGGUGCUAACGUCCGUCGUGAAGAGGGAAACAACCCAGACCGCCAGCUAAGGUCCCAAAGUCAUGGUUAAGUGGGAAACGAUGUGGGAAGGCCCAGACAGCCAGGAUGUUGGCUUAGAAGCAGCCAUCAUUUAAAGAAAGCGUAAUAGCUCACUGGUCGAGUCGGCCUGCGCGGAAGAUGUAACGGGGCUAAACUAUGCACCGAAGCUGCGGCAGCGACACUGUGUGUUGUUGGGUAGGGGAGCGUUCUGUAAGCCUGUGAAGGUGUGUCGUGAGGCAUGCUGGAGGUAUCAGAAGUGCGAAUGCUGACAUAAGUAACGAUAAAGCGGGUGAAAAGCCCGCUCGCCGGAAGACCAAGGGUUCCUGUCCAACGUUAAUCGGGGCAGGGUGAGUCGACCCCUAAGGCGAGGCCGAAAGGCGUAGUCGAUGGGAAACGGGUUAAUAUUCCCGUACUUGGUGUUACUGCGAAGGGGGGACGGAGAAGGCUAUGUUGGCCGGGCGACGGUUGUCCCGGUUUAAGCGUGUAGGUGUGUGUUCCAGGUAAAUCCGGUUCACUUUAACACUGAGGCGUGACGACGAGGCACUACGGUGCUGAAGCAACAAAUGCCCUGCUUCCAGGAAAAGCCUCUAAGCAUCAGGUAACAUCAAAUCGUACCCCAAACCGACACAGGUGGUCAGGUAGAGAAUACCAAGGCGCUUGAGAGAACUCGGGUGAAGGAACUAGGCAAAAUGGUGCCGUAACUUCGGGAGAAGGCACGCUGACACGUAGGUGAAGUGAUUUACUCAUGGAGCUGAAGUCAGUCGAAGAUACCAGCUGGCUGCAACUGUUUAUUAAAAACACAGCACUGUGCAAACACGAAAGUGGACGUAUACGGUGUGACGCCUGCCCGGUGCCGGAAGGUUAAUUGAUGGGGUCAGCGCAAGCGAAGCUCCUGAUCGAAGCCCCGGUAAACGGCGGCCGUAACUAUAACGGUCCUAAGGUAGCGAAAUUCCUUGUCGGGUAAGUUCCGACCUGCACGAAUGGCGUAAUGAUGGCCAGGCUGUCUCCACCCGAGACUCAGUGAAAUUGAACUCGCUGUGAAGAUGCAGUGUACCCGCGGCAAGACGGAAAGACCCCGUGAACCUUUACUAUAGCUUGACACUGAACAUUGAGCCUUGAUGUGUAGGAUAGGUGGGAGGCUUUGAAGUGUGGACGCCAGUCUGCAUGGAGCCGACCUUGAAAUACCACCCUUUAAUGUUUGAUGUUCUAACGUGGACCCGUGAUCCGGGUUGCGGACAGUGUCUGGUGGGUAGUUUGACUGGGGCGGUCUCCUCCUAAAGAGUAACGGAGGAGCACGAAGGUUGGCUAAUCCUGGUCGGACAUCAGGAGGUUAGUGCAAUGGCAUAAGCCAGCUUGACUGCGAGCGUGACGGCGCGAGCAGGUGCGAAAGCAGGUCAUAGUGAUCCGGUGGUUCUGAAUGGAAGGGCCAUCGCUCAACGGAUAAAAGGUACUCCGGGGAUAACAGGCUGAUACCGCCCAAGAGUUCAUAUCGACGGCGGUGUUUGGCACCUCGAUGUCGGCUCAUCACAUCCUGGGGCUGAAGUAGGUCCCAAGGGUAUGGCUGUUCGCCAUUUAAAGUGGUACGCGAGCUGGGUUUAGAACGUCGUGAGACAGUUCGGUCCCUAUCUGCCGUGGGCGCUGGAGAACUGAGGGGGGCUGCUCCUAGUACGAGAGGACCGGAGUGGACGCAUCACUGGUGUUCGGGUUGUCAUGCCAAUGGCACUGCCCGGUAGCUAAAUGCGGAAGAGAUAAGUGCUGAAAGCAUCUAAGCACGAAACUUGCCCCGAG